UGGCUCAGAACGAACGCUGGCGGCAGGCCUAACACAUGCAAGUCGAACGCUGCAGCAAUGCAGAGUGGCAGACGGGUGAGUAACGCGUGGGAACCUACCCAGUGGUACGGAAUAGCCCAGGGAAACUUGGGGUAAUACCGUAUAAGCCCCUAGGGGGAAAGAUUUAUCGCCAUUGGAUGGGCCCGCGUCGGAUUAGCUAGUUGGUGAGGUAACGGCUCACCAAGAGAACGAUCCGUAGCUGGUCUGAGAGGAUGAUCAGCCACAUUUGUUCUCUGACACGGGACNGACUCCUACGUGAGUCAGUUGUGGGG
rnacentral:rRNA from 2 species